CGGACAGCGUAUGAUGUCCGGGACGGGGCGGCGGAUGAGCCGGUAGUCGAGUCUACAAGGACUCGGAAGCGGAGCGCCGCUUCUGCUGGGAGUAGUGACCGGUGAGUACGGGUUGGUACUUUUCUGAGGUGUUGUGUUCGCUUCUGAUGGCUUUUUCUUCUUCUUAGGCCUCCUUCCCCUUCCAAGAGGCAGGCGGUGGGCUCUGUUGAGAGCCCUGCUAUCACGACUCCCGCUCGCCGGCUGAAUCUAGCAGGAGUGGUUCUGCUAAGGGGCAGAGCGCUUCAGGGCUAAGCGUGGUCCUGAAGUUCGUGAAAUCGAAGAAAUUUGUUUUGAAGCAGUCUUCCCACAACCCAGACGCUCUUGGGAUUGAUGAGUCUGAGAAGGGAAUUUUUGAUUCCCUUAAGAAUAUUGCCCAUUUGCCUCUCAGCCCGCUGAAGGGGGAGGAUCGGGUGGCUGAUUCUGCUGCCGGCACGGCGGAGAACCUGGUCUCCGGAGAGCCGAACAAGAAUCUCUAGCCGCUAGCACUAAUAAGCAGACCGAGGACCGGCCGAAGGGUCCCCCGGCUCCCGCCAAUGUUGAUCUGGUCCCGCUGGAGACGCCGCAGCGAGAAGCGGAGAAGCCGGUCGGGGAGUCGAUUGCCAUCGCCUUGGGGAUUCUGGGCUGCCAUUCUGCCCUUGUUAAUCUGGCUAAGCAAGUCGCGGAACAGGCCGAGUUCCUUCGGCAUGCUGGAGAGGGUCUCCAGUUGGCAUCUGAUCAGGCACUGCAGCUUGAGAAAAUGGCUACUCUUGAGAAGUCUUCUCAGGAGCAGUUGGAAAAGGUCAGGCUUCUGGAGGCCCAGGUGGAGUCUUUGGAGCAGGAUAAUUCUGCUCUGAAAGAUAAAGCCUCCAAGCUGCAAGAGAAGGUCAAGGCUGCUGCCAAGGAGAAGAAGGAUGCUGUGGAGAAGCUGACCAAGAUCGAGGCUGGCGCUGAUAAAUAGAUGAUCAGCGAUAUGAAGCAGAUCAGGGAGCUAUCCCAGCAGUUGGCUGAUCUUGAGGUGGUGGACAAAGUAGCCGUCGACAUGGUGGAGUCUGCUGGAGCUGCCGAGAAAAGUCUGCUGGAGCAUCUUCGUGAAGCCCCUCAGCGACUUAGUAGCUUUUUCUCCGACACCUCUAGAGAGUACUUGGCCCAUGCCUUAGGAUUAGUUAAAUCCUUUAUCCCUUCCGUGAACUUGUCCACUAUUGGUGAUGGGGUUGCCGUUGGCUGCUCAGAGGAGCAGUUCUCUGAGUAUGUCGCGGAGAUGAAACCCAUCGCUGAUAAGGUUAUCAGCGGCUUGGAGUCGGUGCCAGAGUCUUGAAUGGUUAUUGUAAUAUCAUCUUGGCUUUUGUGUGGAUGUGAGUCCAGUUGAGUACUUUUAACAUUCUGAUGUAUAGUACUUUUUUUCUUUUAUUUGACGGUCGGUUGGCUGGUUGCCUUUUCAUGAAGCUUGUCAUCGGUUGUCUUGAAUCA